GACGAACGCUGGCGGCGUGCUUAACACAUGCAAGUCGAACGAAGUGGCGAACGGGUGAGUAACGCGUAAUAAACCUGCCCUUCAGAGGGGGACAACAGUUGGCAACGACUGCUACUACCUCAUACUUUAGCAGGGGAUUGCGUUUGAUUAGCUCGUUGGGGGGGUAACGGCCCACCAAGGCGAUGAUCAGUAGCCGGGCUGGUAGGAGGAACGGCCACAAUGGGACUGAGACACGGCCCAGACUCCUACGGGAGGCAGCAGUGGGGAAGAUUGCACAAUGGGGGCAAGCCUGAUGCAGCCAUGGCGCGGGAGUGAUGACGGCCUUCGGGGUGUAAAGCGCUGUUAAUCGGGACGCGGUACCGGAAGAGAAAGCCACGGCUAACUACGUGCCAGCAGCCGCGGUAAUUC
rnacentral:rRNA from 1 species